GGGUAUUUUAGGCCUUGCUCUGGUAGUGAACAAAUAAGUUUCCGGCCCUCGGGGAGUCAGAGUCCAGUCCCUGAGACAGAUUGUCAAUAAGACAAGGAAAAUCCACACAACGUCAGCCGGAGGGAUCCUGUUAGAACCCGGGACGGAGGCUGUCCAGCUCUGCCCACCCCCCCACACUGUGGCUCCCACUCAAGGCGACAAGGCAUGGACCGUCUCCAGCUGAAGAGGGGGUCCACCCGAUAUGCCACUCUGUGACUUGGCCAAAGAGUGGGCUGGGAAGCUCUUAACUCUCCAGUGAUCUCCUGGGCACAUGGUGCGCUAACUGUUGGUGGAGGGGCCAAACCUUCAUAGUCCAACUGGGCCUCCAUGGGG